rnacentral:rRNA from 1 species
GACGAACGCUGGCGGCGUGCUUAACACAUGCAAGUCGAACGGUGAAGCGCCUUCCUUUUUGGUGGGUGUGGAUGAGUGGCGAACGGGUGAGUAACACGUGAGUAACCUGCCCCCUUCUUCUGGAUAACCGCAUGAAAGUGUGGCUAAUACGGGAUAUUCUGGGUCUGUCGCAUGAUGGGUCUGGGAAAGAUAUUGUUUCGGUGGGGGAUGGGCUCGCGGCCUAUCAGCUUGUUGGUGGGGUGAUGGCCUACCAAGGCGGUGACGGGUAGCCGGCCUGAGAGGGUGGACGGCCACACUGGGACGGAGACACGGCCAAGACUCCUACGGGAGGCAGCAGGGGGGAAUAUUGCACAAUGGGAGCAAGCCUGAUGCAGCGACGCCGCGUGAGGGAUGGAGGCCUUCGGGUUGUGAACCUCUUUCGCCAGUGAAGCAGGCCUGCCUCGUUUGUGGGUGGGUUGACGGUAGCUGGAUAAGAAGCGCCGGCUAACUACGUG